CCCUUAGAUGUUCUGGGCCGCACGCGCGCUACACUGACGAAUGCAACGAGCUUAUAACCUUGGCCGAAAGGUCUGGGUAAUCUCCAAAUUUCGUCGUGAUGGGGAUAGAUUAUUGCAAUUAUUAAUCUUCAACGAGGAAUUCCUAGUAGACGUAGUUCAUCAGACUGCAUCGAUUACGUCCCUGCCCUUUGUACACACCGCCCGUCGCUCCUACCGAUUGAAUGCUCAGGUGAGCCAUUCGGACUUUCAUCAUGCUGGUUUCCAGUUUUGAUGAAGGAAAGUCUUGCGAACCUUAUCAUUUAGAGGAAGGAGAAGUCGUAACA
rnacentral:rRNA from 1 species